GCCAGCCCCGCCCUCACGCCCGAAGCCGCGACGGGCGAGGACAGCAGCCGCGGUUCGCGGCCACCAGCCGACCACGGCGCGCCGCCGCUGCCGUCUCCCCUGUAGCGGGCGGGAGCGCUCGCUGGCUCGCGCUACGAGCAUUGUUGCUUGAUACCAUCAUUAGGAAUUGAAGAGGGGCAUACAAGCAAUGUGCACAUCACGUCAGGUAGAUGGUGGGCCUUCUGUACUACAGUGCAGACGGUCAUUGCCCACCGGCCCAUCUUAAACUAUCAAAAUUUCGAGGGGCUUGAACUCCAACAAUGCGUGUUUUGAACUGCUCUCUGACCAUGGAGAUCUUGUCCUGGCAACCGCCGAGGCCAAUCUGACAAGCAAAUCAAGUAGGACUCUCCCAGAUACCUGUACUCAGGCAGCCUUUUUUUUUUUGAGGGUCAAGGGGAGGGGAGAGAAUCCUCUACCUGAAUAUAUUGAUGGUGCUAUGUUCGAGCCAAAAGCUUACAACAUUGAUCUUCAGCAAAUUUGGAAAACAACCCCAACAGAGCAAGAUAAGCGUACUACAUGGGAACAAGCGUUUGGCACCAGGACUCAGCGACUAUGUGGUCAGGGAUCUUCAGGCAGUACCUCCAUAGGCCCACGUCUUCUUUACUCAGGCAGUCUUUGAAACAUUUUCUUCUAUUUCUAGAGGGAAGUCUUUAGCAUGGCGAUAAUUUUCUAGUGCUUCUAGUCAAGUUGAGGAUUCAAGUUUCUAAUGAAUUUCUUUUCGUACUGGUGAUGUUUCUAUCACAGUUCCUGCAUUCUGUCAUUCUCACAAAAGUACACAGUUAAUUCUGCACCUGAUGCUGAAGUAUUGCAUGGGGAGUGGAAAAGUGGCUCCCUACUGGGUAUUCAGUGUUGGAGGAAGGUGACUCAGGUCCAGAAAAUGCUUUUGUUCUUUCCUGACUACAAUCACUUAGUGGAAAAUACCAAGUCAGGUUUCCAGCGAAAUCAUUAUUACA